AACUAUACUAAAACGCAAACGGCAAAACGACAAACAAAAUGAAUAGUGACGCGACCAUUCUACCCCUCUCUUGCCUGGUAAACUGUCCCUCCAGCUGUUCAAUUUUUGUGGCACCGAUUAUGUUCAACGAAAUUACACAGUCCACCUGUUGAUCUACGGAGCCACCACCUGUUUGCUUCUCCUGCCACCGAUUACUGUUGGCGUGGCCUUGCUCUGCAGAAAUAUAGAGGUAGACAUUAUGGUGAGAUACAGGGUCUACUUCUUUCCUCUGCACAAAGAGAGAGAGAGAGAGCGAAGGGACUAGAGGAAGAAGAAGUGACUUAGCAGUAAGUUCCUGCUCCCAGGGUUUGAUCUUGGAAUUUCAAGAUGCUGGCCAAUUUUGUUCAUAGAAUGAAUGGACCAACACCUUUGUGAGUGUAGUACUCUUGCUGCCUGCCAGGACUCCACCAUGCUUAAGCAAAUUCUGAGCAAAUUCACCUCGCAAGCCAAAAUCUGUCACUAGAUUCCACUGGAAGUGAUUCUGGCAAUAAUAGUCCUAAUUUGGGCAGUGGUUUCCAAUGAACAAUUGGUGGGAGUUCUCUUGCAAGCAAAUUAAAUGUUGUCAAACGGGUGUCUUCAGUUGUUUGCCCAGCAAGCAUUUCAGCUGGAGCAGAGGUAGUGGAGCCUCAUCUGUCUUUCAAAGAGGUUUCAAAUCCACAGAAGCAGAAUCUGUUUAUCAGUCGCACCAUAUAAGGGAAGGAAGGGUGAGUCAAAUUGGGGUCUUAACACAUCUAGAGAAUUACAAGUACUCAAUCGUAUCUGGAAUCUUGAAGAACAGCAUGCAUCUAAUAUAUCAUUGGUAAAAGCACUGAAACGGAUCAUUCUAAGGCUAUAAUUCAAGAGUUGGUGCAUGAAAAGCAAUGGGAUAGGCAAGAAAUGGACGACUUGACGAAGCAAGUCUGAUGGUCAGUUGGUCAGGGUUCGUCAAGUCUUAGACCAAAGCCGACUCAAAACUGAUGUUCAGUUGGUCAGGGUUCGUCAAGUCUUAGACCAAAGCCGACUCAAAACUGAUGUUCAGUUGGUCAGGGGAUGAGCUAGAAGGUGAAAGGAAAUUGAGAAAGCAUCCGGAUUUUUGGGACAAGUAAAACAAUGUAUAAUGAAGUUUUAAUGUAUAAUUUCGAAAUCUGGCUAAGUACAACA